rnacentral:rRNA from 1 species
CAGUCGCCGCGGUAAUACAGAGGAUGCAAGCGUUAUCCGGAAUGAUUGGGCGUAAAGCGGCUGUAGGUGGCUUUUCAAGUCCGCCGUCAAAUCCCAGGGCUCAACCCUGGACAGGCGGUGGAAACUACCGAGCUGGAGUACGGUAGGGGCAGAGGGAAUUUCCGGUGGAGCGGUGAAAUGCGUUGAGAUCGGGAAGAACACCAACGGCGAAAGCACUCUGCUGGGCCGACACUGACACUGAGAGACGAAAGCUAGGGGAGCAAAUGGGAUUAGAUACCCCUGUAGUCCCUGUCUCUUAACA